rnacentral:rRNA from 1 species
UAACACGUGAGCAACCUGCCCUGGACUCUGGGAUAAGCGCUGGAAACGGCGUCUAAUACUGGAUAUGAGCUUUCACCGCAUGGUGGGGGUUGGAAAGAUUUUUCGGUCUGGGAUGGGCUCGCGGCCUAUCAGCUUGUUGGUGAGGUAAUGGCUCACCAAGGCGUCGACGGGUAGCCGGCCUGAGAGGGUGACCGGCCACACUGGGACUGAGACACGGCCCAGACUCCUACGGGAGGCAGCAGUGGGGAAUAUUGCACAAUGGGCGGAAGCCUGAUGCAGCAACGCCGCGUGAGGGAUGACGGCCUUCGGGUUGUAAACCUCUUUUAGCAGGGAAGAAGCGAGAGUGACGGUACCUGCAGAAAAAGCGCCGGCUAACUACGUGCCAGCAGCCGCGGUAAUACGUAGGGCGCAAGCGUUAUCCGGAAUUAUUGGGCGUAAAGAGCUCGUAGGCGGUUUGUCGCGUCUGCUGUGAAAUCCCGAGGCUCAACCUCGGGCCUGCAGUGGGUACGGGCAGACUAGAGUGCGGUAGGGGAGAUUGGAAUUCCUGGUGUAGCGGUGGAAUGCGCAGAUAUCAGGAGGAACACCGAUGGCGAAGGCAGAUCUCUGGGCCGUAACUGACGCUGAGGAGCGAAAGGGUGGGGAGCAAACAGGCUUAGAUACCCUGGUAGUCCACCCCGUAAACGUUGGGAACUAGUUGUGGGGACCAUUCCACGGUUUCCGUGACGCAGCUAACGCAUUAAGUUCCCCGCCUGGGGAGUACGGCCGCAAGGCUAAAACUCAAAGGAAUUGACGGGGACCCGCACAAGCGGCGGAGCAUGCGGAUUAAUUCGAUGCAACGCGAAGAACCUUACCAAGGCUUGACAUACACCAGAACACCGUAGAAAUACGGGACUCUUUGGACACUGGUGAACAGGUGGUGCAUGGUUGUCGUCAGCUCGUGUCGUGAGAUGUUGGGUUAAGUCCCGCAACGAGCGCAACCCUCGUUCUAUGUUGCCAGCACGUAAUGGUGGGAACUCAUGGGAUACUGCCGGGGUCAACUCGGAGGAAGGUGGGGAUGACGUCAAAUCAUCAUGCCCCUUAUGUCUUGGGCUUCACGCAUGCUACAAUGGCCGGUACAAAGGGCUGCAAUACCGUGAGGUGGAGCGAAUCCCAAAAAGCCGGUCCCAGUUCGGAUUGAGGUCUGCAACUCGACCUCAUGAAGUCGGAGUCGCUAGUAAUCGCAGAUCAGCAACGCUGCGGUGAAUACGUUCCCGGGUCUUGUACACACCGCCCGUCAAGUCAUGAAAGUC